rnacentral:rRNA from 1 species
GACGAACGCUGGCGGCGUGCUUAACACAUGCAAGUCGAACGGAAAGGCCCUGCUUUUGUGGGGUGCUCGAGUGGCGACCGGGUGAGUAACACGUGAGUAACCUGCCCUUGACUUUGGGAUAACUUCAGGAAACUGGGGCUAAUACCGGAUAGGAGCUCCUGCUGCAUGGUGGGGGUUGGAAAGUUUCGGCGGUUGGGGAUGGACUCGCGGCGUAUCAGCUUGUUGGUGGGGUAGUGGCUUACCAAGGCUUUGACGGGUAGCCGGCCUGAGAGGGUGACCGGCCCCAUUGGGACGGAGAUACGGCCCAGACUCCUACGGGAGGCAACAGUGGGGAAGAGUGCACUAUGGGAGGAAGCCUGAUGCAGCAAAGCCGCGUGCGGGAUGACGGCCAUCGGUUUGUAAACCGCAUUCGCCUGUGACGAAGCGUGAGUGACGGUAAUGGGUAAAGAAGCACCGGCUAACUACGUG